AGCAGCCGCGGUAAUUCCAGCUCCAAUAGCGUAUAUUAAAGUUGUUGCAGUUAAAAAGCUCGUAGUUGAAUUUCGGGAUCAGCGCGUCGGUCGUGCCUCCGGUAUGCACUGGCGCCGCUGGUUUCUCCCUUCUGAGGAACCGUGAUGUCAUUAAUUUGGUGUCGCGGGAAAUCAGGACUGUUACUUUGAAAAAAUUAGAGUGUUUAAAGCGGGCACGCGCUUGAAUACAUUAGCAUGGAAUAACGAAAUAGGACGUUCGAUCUUAUUUUGUUGGUUUCUAGGAUUGACGUAAUGAUUAAUAGGGAUAGUUGGGGGCAUUAGUAUUCAAUUGUCAGAGGUGAAAUUCUUGGAUUUAUUGAAGACUAACUACUGCGAAAGCAUUUGCCAAGGAUGUUUUCAUUAAUCAAGAACGAAAGUUAGGGGAUCGAAGACGAUCAGAUACCGUCGUAGUCUUAACCAUAAACUAUGCCGACUAGGGAUCGGAUGAUGUUAAUUUUAUAAUGA
rnacentral:rRNA from 1 species